AAUCAACGCUGGCGGCGUGCCUCAGACAUGCAAGUCGAACGCGAAAGUUUCCUUCGGGGAACAAGUAGAGUGGCGCACGGGUGAGUAACACGUAGGUAAUCUACCUUUGGAUGGGGAAUAACAACCGGAAACGGUUGCUAAUACCGCAUAAUGCAGCGGCACCUAAUGGUGACAGUUGUUAAAGCGGGGGAUCGAAAGACCUCGCGUCUGAAGAGGAGCCUGCGGCGGAUUAGCUAGNGGUAAGGUAAUGGCUUACCAAGGCGACGAUCCGUAACCGGCCUGAGAGGGCGGUCGGUCACACUGACACUGACAUACGGGUCAGACUCCUACGGGAGGCAGCAGUCGGGUAAGUUUUGGGCAAUGGGCGAAAGCCUGACCCAGCAACGCCGCGUGAGGGAUGACGG
rnacentral:rRNA from 1 species